rnacentral:rRNA from 1 species
UACGAAGGGGGCUAGCGUUGUUCGGAAUCACUGGGCGUAAAGGGCGCGUAGGCGGCCGAUCAAGUCGGGGGUGAAAGCCUGUGGCUCAACCACAGAAUUGCCUUCGAUACUGGAGAUCUUGAGUCCGGGAGAGGUGAGUGGAAUUGCGAGUGUAGAGGUGAAAUUCGUAGAUAUUCGCAAGAACACCAGUGGCGAAGGCGGCUCACUGGCCCGGAACUGACGCUGAGACGCGAAAGCGUGGGGAGCAAACAGG